UCGGAAUUACUGGGCGUAAAGCGUGCGCAGGCGGUUUUGUAAGUCUGACGUGAAAUCCCCGGGCUCAACCUGGGAAUUGCGUUGGAGACUGCAAGGCUGGAGUCUGGCAGAGGGGGGUAGAAUUCCACGUGUAGCAGUGAAAUGCGUAGAGAUGUGGAGGAACACCGAUGGCGAAGGCAGCCCCCUGGGUCAAGACUGACGCUCAUGCACGAAAGCGUGGGGAGCAAACAGGAUUAGAUACCCUGGUAGU
rnacentral:rRNA from 1 species